GGUAAAGUGGCUGAAAUUUUUAGGUGAUAGACUGUAAAUUUAUUUAUGAGAUAUAUUCUCCUUUACCA
rnacentral:tRNA from 1 species